rnacentral:rRNA from 1 species
UUGCCUACGGGAGGCAGCAGUGGGGGAUAUUGCACAAUGGGGGGAACCCUGAUGCAGCGACGCCGCGUGGGCGAUGGAGUGCUUCGGCAUGUAAAGCCCUAUCAGCAGGGAAGAAAAUGACGGUACCUGACUAAGAAGCCCCGGCUAAAUACGUGCCAGCAGCCGCGGUAAUACGUAGGUGGCGAGCGUUAUCCGGAAUGAUUGGGCGUAAAGGGUGCGUAGGCGGCCUGCUAAGUCUGGAGUGAAAGGUACCGGCUCAACCGGUACAGGCUCUGGAAACUGGCGGGCUAGAG